GACGAACGCUGGCGGCGUGCCUAAUACAUGCAAGUCGAGCGGACUUUCAAGAAGCUUGCUUUUUGAAAGUUAGCGGCGGACGGGUGAGUAACACGUGGGCAACCUGUCUGUAAGACGGGGAUAACUCCGGGAAACCGGGGCUAAUACCGGAUAAUAUCUUUCUUCGCAUGAAGGAAGGUUGAAAGGCGGCGCAAGCUGCCGCUUGCAGAUGGGCCCGCGGCGCAUUAGCUAGUUGGUGAGGUAACGGCUCACCAAGGCGACGAUGCGUAGCCGACCUGAGAGGGUGAUCGGCCACACUGGGACUGAGACACGGCCCAGACUCCUACGGGGGGCAGCAGUAGGGAAUCUUCCGCAAUGGACGAAAGUCUGACGGAGCAACGCCGCGUGAGCGAGGAAGGUCUUCGGAUCGUAAAGCUCUGUUGUCAGGGAAGAACAAGUACCGUUCGAAUAGGGCGGUACCUUGACGGUACCUGACCAGAAAGCCACGGCUAACUACGUGCCAGCAGCCGCCGCAG
rnacentral:rRNA from 1 species